GGCUGCCUGCAGCCUGGAACCUCAGAGCGCGUGGCACAACCACUGGGCGGGGAAUGCAGCCAGGGCAGUUCCCACCGGCUCCCUGCUCAGGGUGGGACCCCUUGCUUGGCGGGGGCCACUGGAAUGACACCUGGCCAAAUAUUAAUUACUGUUGCUUCCGAGGUCCCACCAGUCACAGCGGUGGCGAGCCCUGCCCAGGAAGUCCAAAUAAUCGGCAUCGCUGGUAUUUUAGUCACCCCAAUGGGAGGCUGGGUCAUCUGACUCCACAGCUGCUCCGAGGCAGUCUCAGGCAGGGCCACUUCCCGGAACCCAGUCUGCCGCCGAGAAAGCAGGGGGCCUAGGCAGGUUGAGAAAUCUAAGGAAAUUGCCCGAAGUCUCAACCUGGCAAGAGACAAGGCUGGGACACUUUCCACUAAUGGCAGGAUCCACCCCCACCCCCCAAUCCAGCUGUUACAGAAGUGCAAAUACUACAAGGUGGGGCACCCAGCCAUGUGCACAGACCAUCACAACUGUUCAAAGGCUUGGGUAAUGGAUUAAGGAGGACAGACUGAGCGAGGAAGAGGAAAUCCAAUGCACAGAAACCAGGCUGGCUGGAAACAUCCAGUGUUGACAGAGUUUUCGGCAAUCGCAGGAAAAGGCCCCCUGCAAGAAAUUAUCAGGACAAAGUUGAAGGGGCACCAAGAUUUUGGAUCCAGUGGUGACUAUUUGUUGGUUUAUAUGCUGCCUCUCCAGCAUGGAGUCUGUCUGCAUGCACCAUGCUUCCCGCCUGACGAUAAUGGACUGAACCUCUGAACUAGCAUAGGUGAGGCCUCACCUCCUGGGUGUGUCUGCUCCCUCCACCGAAGGCUGCAUCAGAAAGUCUUCACCCAGCUGUCAGAGGUGGAGCUCCUGCACCCUUGUCUUCCUAGAGUACAUACUCUACUCCUCCCCCAGGCACGAGCACACACAGGUCGUAGGAAGUGACUGGAUGCACUCACCCGGUAAAGGGCUCUGAACAGUCAAUAAACCCAAUUGGGAUGACUUUUUGUAAUUGCAUUCGGCUGAAUGCCCCAAGACUGCAGUUGGUCGGUUCAAAGGACAGUCCUGCACAACAUCUUGUCUCAAGAAGAUAAAAACCACAGCAACUCUUAAGAACAAAGGCAACCUCCAAAAAGCCCAAAACUAUUCCAAUGGCUUCGGUGAAAUGAACAAAUUAGUUGAAAAACACCAAUCUACUAAUGCUCACUCAGCAACAACUAAGUCACUGGGACGGCUCUCCUGCUACUGAAGAAAUGUUAUCGUGUCUAACAAACCUCAUAAACAAUGUCAGGCCCAAAUGACUGCCUGGCAAAUUCUACCAGACAUUUAAAGAAGAAACAAUAGCAACUGUGCAAUUGUUUAUAGACGCUGGUCUACUAGACCUGUAAAGAAGAAACAAUAGCCGGGCGUUGGUGGCGCACGCCUUUAAUCCCAGCACUCGGGAGGCAGAGGCAGGUGCAUCUCUGUGAGUUCGGGACCAGCCUGGUCUACAGAGAGAGUUCCAGGACAGCCUCCAAAGCCACAGAGAAACCCUGUCUCAAAAAAACAAAACAAAAACAACAACAACAAAAAGAAGUAGUAAUUACUCAAUUGUUUGUAGAAGCUGGACAAGGAAACAUUCUCUCUAGUUAUUUUACUUAUUUAAAGAUUAAAAUUACAUCUAUUUGGAAUGGAGAGCAUGUGAUAUACUCUUCCAGAGAACCCAAGUUUGAUUUCCAGCAUGAGCACCCAGUGGCUCACAAGCACCUACCUGUAACUCCAGCUCCAGGGAGACUGAAACCUCCGGCCUCUGUGGACACCUGCUGUGUUCACUGCACACACAUGCACACACAUGCAAAACAGUACAAAUAAAUUACGUUUAUUUUAGUGUAUGUGGCAGGCUCAUAUGUAAGUCAGAGAACAAUUUGCAGGAGUCUGUUCUCUCCUUCCACCCAGUGGGGCUGGGGAUCAAACUCAGGCAUCAGGCUUGGGCAGUAGGUACCUUUACCUGAUGAGCCAUCUCACCAACCCCUCCCUAAGAAUUUAAUGAGGGAAGCAUCAUUUCUGAUACUAAGGCAAGACAAAUGCAUCUCUAGAAAAGAUUACAGAUUAAUAUCCUUCAUAACUACAAAAUCUCUAACAAAAUAUUAGCAAAUUGAUGCCAGAAAUGUGUUUUAAAAAAUACAACACAGUGGAGUUUCCCCCAGAAAUAAGAUUCGAUCAAAAUUUAUUUAUUUAUUUAUUUAUUUAUUUAUUUAUUUAUUUAAUUUUAGUUUUUUCAAAACAGGGUUUCUCUGUGUAACUGCUCUUACUGUCCUGAAAAUUCACUCUGUAACUAGGCUGGCCUUGAAUUCACAGAUAUCCACCUGCCUCUGCCUCCUGCGUGCUGGGAUUAAAGGCAUGUGCCACCACUGCUUUGCCAAGAUUUGGCCAGUAUUUAAAAAGCAAUCCACAGCUAGGAUUGAUGACAUAAUCCUUUAAUCUGAGCAUCACCAAGCAAGACAGACAGAUCUCUGUGAAGUCUGCAUAGUGUCUAUAUAGUGAGUUCCAGACCAGCCAGGGAUACAUUGUGAGACUGUGCCUAAAAACAACAACAGCAGCAACAAUAAAACCAAUCCAUUGGCCAGACAGUGGCACACACAUUUAAUCUCAGCACUUGGAAGGCAGAGGCAGGUGGAUCUCUGAGUUCAAGGCCAGUCUAGUCAUAGGGCAUGUUCCAGGACAGCUAGGGCUACACAGAGAAACCCUGUCUCAAAAACAAAAACAAUAAAACAAAAAGCCAAUAAAAAUACCAAUACCAAAACCAAAAACCCUUUUGGACUUAGAGAAAUGAAAUAAUUAGUCCAUCUCCACACAGCUGGUAACUGACAGAGACAAAACUCAAAUAAUUACUGCUAUCUCAUUAAUCAGAACCCAUGGUACCACACCACUCUUUGGUCUCUUACCAGCCUAUGGGUGGGCUGCUUUUGAGUCCUAUAGGUUGGAACCAAUAGGUUUCUUUCAGUUCAGAGCCCUGUCUACUUGGAUCCAAGGAGCAGGCGCUCUCGAUAGGUCAGGUCCAGCUAGAAGCGGUGAGCAACUUGACUUCUAUGAUGUUCAAUUAAAUGGCUCAUACUUCCAUAUCUCAUAAGAAAACCCCCCAAAAAUGUCCAUAUAAAAUCUAUCCCUAAACUGGCCCCUGUGUUGGCUAGCUUUGUAUCAACACAACCCAGAGUUAUCUGAAAGGGUGUGUGUGUGUGGGAACCUCAAUUGACAAAACACUUCCAUUAGAUCCUACUGUAAGGCAUUUUUAAAAUUAGUGAUUGGUGGGUGAGGGUCCAGCUUGUUGUGAGUGGGGCCACCCAUGGGCUGGUGUUCCUGGGUUCUAUAAGAAAGCAGGCUGAGCAAGCUAUGAUGAGCAAGCCAGUAAGCAGCACUCCUCCAUAGCCUCUGCAUUGGUUCCUGCCACUAGGUUCCUGCCCUGCUGAGUUUCUGUCCUGACUUUUCAGUGAUAGGCUACAAAGUAGCUUUGCGUCAAGGUGUUUCAUCCCAGCAAUAGAAACCCUAAGAGAGCCACAAUUGGACUACUCCACCCUUAUCAUCUAAUAAGUGCCUUCUAGAUAAUAUAUUUACAUUAUUUUGAUCCCACUCUAG
ensembl:lncRNA